rnacentral:rRNA from 1 species
CAGUCGCCGCGGGAAUACGAAGGGGGCUAGCGUUGCUCGGAAUGACUGGGCGUAAAGGGCGCGUAGGCGGCGGACCAAGUUAGAUGUGAAAUUCCUGGGCUCAACCUGGGGACUGCAUUUGAUACUGGUUUGCUAGAGUUCGGAAGAGGGUAGUGGAAUUUCCAGUGUAGAGGUGAAAUUCGUAGAUAUUGGAAAGAACACCGGUGGCGAAGGCGGCUACCUGGUCCGACACUGACGCUGAGGCGCGAAAGCGUGGGGAGCAAACAGGAUUAGAUACCCCAGUAGUCCCUGUCUCUUAUAC